CCUACGGGAGGCAGCAGUGGGGAAUUUUGGACAAUGGGCGAAAGCCUGAUCCAGCAAUGCCGCGUGCAGGAAGAAGGCCUUCGGGUUGUAAACUGCUUUUGUACGGAACGAAAAGACUCUCUCUAAUACAGGGGGCUUAUGACGGUACCGUAAGAACAAGCACCGGCUAACUACGUGCCAGCAGCCGCGGUAAUACGUAGGGUGCAAGCGUUAAUCGGAAUUACUGGGCGUAAAGCGUGCGCAGGCGGUUAUAUAAGACAGUUGUGAAAUCCCCGGGCUCAACCUGGGAACUGCAUCUGUGACUGUAUAGCUAGAGUACGGUAGAGGGGGAUGGAAUUCCGCGUGUAGCAGUGAAAUGCGUAGAUAUGCGGAGGAACACCGAUGGCGAAGGCAAUCCCCUGGACCUGUACUGACGCUCAUGCACGAAAGCGUGGGGAGCAAACAGGAUUAGAUACCCUGGUAGUCCACGCCCUAAACGAUGUCAACUGGUUGUUGGGUCUUCACCGACUCAGUAACGAAGCUAACGCGUGAAGUUGACCGCCUGGGGAGUACGGCCGCAAGGUUGAAACUUAAAGGAAUUGACGGCUGAGACGNGCGACGGACGACGACGAGGGAGGAGG
rnacentral:rRNA from 1 species